UUCCAAGGGAAACACACAACUUCUGUUUCAGAGGCUGACAGGAAGCGAAACAAAACAUCACAAAUGACAGGUUGCAAUGCAAGAAUGAGGGUGAAUGUGCAGGAGGAUAACACAUGUGUGGUAGUGGACAUUGAGUACAAUCAUAAUCACCACCUCAUGCAAACUGAUGACAUGCUAGUAUUCUUGCACUCACACAAGAUUUGUGACCCCACUAUUCUGGAGUACUUAAAUCUCCUGCAGUACCAUGAUGUCAAGCAUACACCAAUCAUGUCCAUGCUAUCCGAAAAUGAAGAUGGAAGCUACUUCCUAAGCAUGACCGGAUGAGACCUACUGAACCAGAAAGCCAUGAAUGCAAAGAAAGAUAAUUUGGAUGAUGUAUUGAAACUUGUAUCUUUCUUCAAAGACAUGAAGGCAAUCAAUAAUGAGUUUUUCUAUGACAUACAAUCUAGUGCAAGCUGUCGAGGAGCGUAUCAAGACUUUGGCGAUUGCGUAAUUUUCGACACAACUUACAAGACUAACAGAUUUCAUAUGCCUCUGGGAGUGUUUGUUGGAACAAAACAUCAUUUGCAGUCAACGAUAUUUGCUGUUGCCCUGAUCAAAGACGAAGAUGCAAAGUCAUUCAAGUGGUUGUUUGAUACAUUUGUACGGUGCAUGAACAACAAAUACCCAACUUGCAUUCUAACAGACCAGUGCCCGUCAAUGGAGAAAGCUAUACCACAAUCGUUCCCAAACACCGUCCACAAGCUAUGUCGUUGGCACAUCCUGAAGAAGUUCGAGGAAUACCUCGUGUUGCUGUACAAAAAGUAUACAAAAUUCAAAGAGGAGUUCACAACAAUCUUAAACUGGUCGCUAAGGCCAACGGAGUUUGAAGCUGCAUUGGCUGAACUCAUGCAAAAGUACAACCUGCAGAAUGACCAGAUGAUGAUGCAACUGUGGAAUGAUAGGAAAAUGUGGAUAUCAGUAUAUUACAAGAACAUUUUCUGUGCUAGAAUGACUUCUACACAAUGAAGCGAGAGCAUGAAUCACGUGCUCAAGAGAGGGUUUUGUAACACCCCAGAUGUAAAACUUCCCAUUUUGGCAAUACAUUCAUCUUGUUAUUAA
rnacentral:rRNA from 1 species